GAGAGCAGGAAGAACAGGUUUCUGCAAAAUAAGCUUAACUCUGUUCUUUGCUUUUUAGUUUUUUUUAAAACUUAUUAGAGAACAGAAAAAUUUCUCAAGAUAUCGUAUCUGACCAAUAAAGCGACAAAAAAAAAAAGAUAUUCAUCAGCUGCCCCAUCAGCUUCCACAAUGAACGGUGGAUUCCUUCUGAAACUGGUGGCAGCUUUCUUUAUGACUGACAUAACAGGUUCAACAAUAAAACCUACAGAAUUAAAUGAAUCACCAACAGCUAAGAUAAUAACAAGUACAAUAAUGCAAAUGUCUGUUAAAGGAAGUGCACAACCAUCCAGUAUAUCCACUGUAAAGCAAUCAGGUUUUUCAGAAGAUAAUUUACUACCAACAGAUGAAGAAGGAAUGUCAACUGAUGUUGAGCAGUCUUUAUAUUUCAAAAGUGCCAGCACACCCAUCAGCAACUUUGUGUCGGCUGACACACCCACAAAGGAAGUCACUCAAGGACAGAUUUCUGAAUCACAGGCCACAGUUUCAGCAUUAACAGACACAACACACAUAAAGCUGUCAUCUAAAUCAGGCACGGCAGAACAAACUUCAACAAGAAAGCAGAACAAUGUCUCAGCCACAAUGCAAAGCUCUGUUGGCACCACAAAACUCGUUAAUUCAACAACACCCCAACAAAUGGAAUCUCCAGAACAAUCCUCUUUACCUACAUCUACAACAAAAACAGCAACACAGAUGCAAUCCAGUCAUCCAACAAGCAUUACUGAAGCAUCAACAGUGGAAUAUACUUCCACAUCAAUGCUUAAGACCAUGGUGACAGCAUC